rnacentral:sRNA from 1 species
AGCCAGCAAGCUUAUGCAAACUUGAGGUCAGAGAGCUACAGGAUGAGGUCCCCUUUGCAGUUUCCUUUGAGAAGAGACCCCCAACUGCCACUACUCACUUCCUCCUCUCACUUCUCUAUUAGUUUCUGAAAGCUUUCCAUAACCUCUCUGUAUAACACUUGCUGGUGAGAUUCUUGGGAAAUUCUGAAUUGAGAGCAUAAUUCUGCGUCAGCUGUGCUGUGGAUACGGUCUCUCAGCAUGUAGCCUGAAGUGCUUGUUCCUGACAGGCUACUGCUCGGCACUGCACUGUGGGUGAUGAGCAGAGGAGGUUGCUCUGACAAGAUGGAGGAACUGAGGCAGGAUUCUCUGCUCCAUGGAUCCACUGUACGGCAUCUGCAAAGCAAUCUGGCGACGGAGGCUCUGCACCACCUUCUUCUUGCUGAAACAGGCCUCUGAUGACUAAAGAUAUUUGGAAGACAGCCUGAGAGCUUGUGGGUGGAUUUUCAAAUCAGCUGACCUGGAAGCUGCCAGUGAUUGGGUGCCUACCCAACUCUGACCACACACUGCGGAAAUAAAAAUAUGGAGAGGGGUCAGUGACCGAAAAGCAUGCUAUCCUGUAAAGGAAAUAAAGAGAAUUGAGAAAGGCUUACAGAAUGUACAGUCUCGUGAAGCUCAUCAUCAGAAUGUUGAACUGACUUGCUUGGAUGGAAAGAUCUCAAGGACUUUCAGUCGGGUCCAGUCAAGAGAGUCAUCAGGCUAUAACAACUCCCUUCUUUUCCCUACAAGCCCUCCACCCAUAAGGAUAUCUCGAUGCCCACAUACGGCUUGAAGAAGUUAUUGACGAGUCAUCUCCCCAAUUCCCAAAACUUCGGGAGAUUAAAAGUUGUCUUUCUAGAGCAUUUAGAAAUGGUCAUAAUUUAACAGGGAGGAAUUAUCUAGAAUUGGUUGUGCAGCCAUAAUCUCUAUUGGUAAAAAUCCCUAUAUUUGUUACUAAGCUAAAGUUAUAAUCUUUAUAUUGGUAUAGAAUUUAUUUGAUACAAGCUUAAAUUUACUUUGAUAUGAAUGUCUUAUGAAUUUAAAAUUAAAAUUCAUAUUGUUAUGCUCAUGUAUAGGCAUCGUGCCUAUAUGACAUUUAAGUAUAAAAGGCUUAUAAUCAGUAAUUUACUGCUAUUAAAAAAACUAAUCUAAGAUGAUUAAAGAUAGAAAUUAAGGGCCAAAUAACAAAUUCAUGGCUCAUAGUUCACUGUUAGGGUAUUUUCAAAGUAUUCUCUUCAGAAAUAGCUGAGAGUCGUAGUUCAUGGAAAACAGUCUAGAUUUCAUUAUAUAGAUAGUUUUAUAUAUUAUUUCCUAUAGGUGGUUUUCAAAAACAUCACAAAUCCACAAAUGUGACACUUAUUGUAAUUUAUCAUUUGUUGAGACAUGUGUAUCCUGACAGUUCCCCUUAGGUGGAUUCAAAGAAGAAAUUAAACAUCUCCAACUCGAGGUGAUGUAAUCCAUUGGCUAUAUGGCCACUGGACAGAAAUUGUCUGUUUCUUCUACAGACGAAAUACUGUCCAAAAGAAGACAUAUUACAGAAUAGUCGACUGAUAAUUUCUGCCAAGCCAAAAUGAUCAACCUUUCAAAAUUCUACGUUUCAAAAGUCUGUCACAUGAUCCUAGGACAGAAGGCUGAAGAUUUGCUCUCAGAUGUUACUACAGGGGACGGUAUAAGUAGAAAAUUGUCUCUUUCACCUGUCUCAGCUCAGGAAGCCAUGUUAGGCUUCCUUUAUUUUUAGAUAAUGUUGGUCAUUCUCAGAUUUCUGACAGGGUUGAAACUAGUUAUAAUCUCAUAGCCUCCCCAGGCUAUUUAACUUUGAGAAGACAUAUUUAAUUAGAUAUUUAUCAGAUAAUAUACAAGCUAGCCAGGGCAUAACAUGGAUUUUAAGCCUUCCUUAAGCUACAAUAGAUAACUAAAUGUUCUGUUUCACUGAUAAAAUGUUUGACUGGGUGUUAGUAUAUUUUAUACUUUUAAAUUACAAAAUGAUAAUAGUUGUACUCAGCUUACAUUUGAGAGAAAAGUUUUGUUAAUUAGACAGAAAGGGUGAAGUGUAAGUUGAUGUCAUUAUGCAGGUAAAGGCAGACAAGAUGAGAGAGGCCUGUCUCUGGACAAGAAGGAAGGGAGGUGAGAACAGAGGUUUUCAAAAGAAAGGGAGAAGCAGGAGAGAAGGGCCGGAGAGAGGAGAGGAACUGAAUAAACAUGGAGACAGAUGUUAAGAUUCCUUUCUGCUCAGAGGUAAAGGUUGUUAUGACUAAUUUUAAGAAAUGGGUGUGUACAUAACUUUGUGCUGUCUAGAUAUCCAAAUUACACCUUAUCAAUUAGAUCAGAGGUUAUUAUGUGAUGUGUUCUUUCACAUGGUGACUUAAUUGAGUUCAAGAGAGCGUGUGGUGGCAGGACACACUGGGCCCGCUAUGGGUUGGGAUUUGGAUGCCUGGGUUGGUAACCACCCACCAAGGGAACUGAGAGUGAAUGACUCGAAGACAGACCUCCCAGUUCAGAGGGACCCUGAGAAAGAAAGCAUGAAGCAGUAUGCACGGGAACUGGUCUCAAUGAUUACGUUUUAUUUUUUACCAAAAUAGUCAUAUAUCAUUUUUAUCAAUCUGGAAGGAGUCAAUAGCUUUUCUUUUCCUGUGGAAAUAUAGGCAUAACCCCUCCCACAGUGUAACACAUUUCCCGUUUUCCAUUUUGAUAAAGGAUGUGCAAAAAAAACCAAAAAGCUUUUUUAGUUCAGCAGUUCGCCCCACAUUCCAAUGUCUUUCUGCAGUCAUAGUUUUUUGUUCAUUAGCAUUUUAAAAGUUUAAGGUUAAUAAAGCACUAUAUAGUCUA